rnacentral:ncRNA from 1 species
GGGACAGAGGGAAUUUUCGGUGGAGCGGUAAAAUGCGUAGAGAUCGAAAAGAACACCAACGGCGAAAGCACUCUGCUG